ACCGAACUGUUGAAAUGGUAAACAUACAAGAUUUAGAUUCUUGAGCAAAAAGCUUAGGGGUUCAAGUCCCCUGUUCGGUA
rnacentral:tRNA from 1 species